rnacentral:rRNA from 1 species
UAGGGAAUAUUGCAAAAUGGGCGAAAGCCCGAUGCAGCAACACCGCGUGGGCGAUGAAGGCCUUCGGGUCGUAAAGCCCUUUUUGAGGGGAUGAGGAAGGACAGUACCCCCAGAAUAAGCCUCGGCUAACUACGUGCCAGCAGCCGCGGUAAAACGUAGGAGGCGAGCGUUAUCCGGAUUUACUGGGCGUAAAGCGCGUGUAGGCGGUCUGGUUAGUUGGAUGUGAAAGCUCCCGGCUUAACUGGGAGAGGUCGUUCAAUACUGCCAGACUAGAGAGUGGUAGAGGGAGAUGGAAUUCCGGGUGUAGUGGUGAAAUGCGUAGAUAUCCGGAGGAACACCAGUGGCGAAAGCGAUCUCCUGAACCAUUUCUGACGCUCAGACGCGAAAGCUAGGGUAGCAAACG